GACGGAGGAGGCAAGCGUUGUUCGGAAUUACUGGGCUUAAAGCGCGUGUAGGCGGGCCGUUAAGUACUUUGUGAAAGCCCUCGGCUCAACCGAGGAAUUGCUGGGUAUACUGGCGGUCUUGAGGCAGGUAGAGGCGAGCGGAACUCUUGGUGGAGCGGUGAAAUGCGUAGAUAUCAAGGGGAACGCCGGUGGCGAAAGCGGCUCGCUGGGCCUGUCCUGACGCUGAGACGCGAAAGCGUAGGGAGCGAACGGGAUUAGAUACCCCCGUA
rnacentral:rRNA from 1 species